rnacentral:rRNA from 1 species
UACGGGGGGGGCAAGCGUUGUUCGGAAUUACUGGGCGUAAAGGGCUCGUAGGCGGCCAACUAAGUCGGAUGUGAAGUCCCCAGGCUCAACUUGGGAACUGCAUCCGAUACUGGAUGGCUUGAAUUCGGGAGAGGGAUGCAGAAUUCCAGGUGUAGCGGUGAAAUGCGUAGAUAUCUGGAGGAAUACCGGUGGCGAAGGCGGCAUCCUGGACCGACAUUGACGCUGAGGAGCGAAAGCUAGGGGAGCAAACGGG